rnacentral:snRNA from 1 species
AAAUGUUUGUGCAAUCUGCUGCCUCUUUCCUUUUUGACCCUCGGGGCUAAUGGAGCGAUCUGGCUGGCUAGGUGGGCGUCCCUUUCCCCCUUUGCUCUUCUACAUAUGCACCUUUUGAAGUUUUGUGCUAGCUGGGGAGGAAUGACGUUCCCUGGUAGUGGAGGGCUCUUCUUCAGCUAUGGGAAUGUGCGUAGCUGUGCUCCAUUGUAGAACCUCCAAACAACUGCCCAAGGGCGCAGUAAACAAGAGUACAUCUAUUCACAUGCUUCUCUGGUACUUCUGU